UUUUUUUUUUUCCUGUCUUUCUGCCAUUUCUUGGGUCGCUGCCUCAGCAUAUGGAGCAGCCCUAAAAAAGACAAAAAAUAAAUUUUAAAAAUAAAUUAAAAAAAAAUAAAUCCCAAGUUAAUUCAAUGAACUGGUGAUUGUAACUUUAUGCCACUGUCAACUCCCGUCUUGCCACAAGCUUUUCAAUAGCAAGAGAAAAAAAGAAAGAAAGAAAGAAAGAAAGAAAGAAAGAAAGAAAGAAAGAAAGAAAGAAAGAAAAGAAAAAACCAACUCUGUAAAUUGGUUUUCCAAUUUAUGUUGAAGAAAUCUGUUUUCCACUUUCUAAUUUCUACAACUGGGAAAUUCUGUAUAUUAUGUUACCAUAUAAUGAAGGAUGCCAGUAAACAGAAAGCCCACACGCCUGCACACGCAACAGAUUACACUGUGUGUAAUUGCAAACACUACCACGUUAUGUACUCCUGGGAGUAUUAUUACGGAGAUGUUGUUAUUUAAUGCCUCAUCUAUUUAAAAAAAAAAAAAAUUCGUGCCAUAUGGAUGAAAAAUGAGUAUACUAGCCUGAAUAUGGGGGAAAAUGUAAUCAGAGAUCACUUAAAAGCCAUACCGUUUUAUACAAGGAUGAGAUGGUACAACCAAAAAACUAAGGAAUUCAGAAUGUCUCAAUUUACAAGGCAUGAGCUCACUGCUGGCUACUAAGAUCUCCAUCCUGGCACUGAGAUUGGAGGAGGCUAGCAACAAACGUCACAGCCAUCCUUUGGACUUUCCUGGACCACUGAAGUUACUCCUAAGGACACAGCACCUUGGGACUCCCACCUACGGCACCCAGGGAGGCAGAGCCCCUGGGGAAGGCAGCACCUACAGCCUAGAGGCUCUCCCUGCUGGGGACGAGCCAUCCAGACAGACAUCUGCCGAGCCUCAAGCCUCAUAAAGAGCGCCAGACUCGGGAAGGAGAGCCCCACCUCCAUCGAUCGCCCACGUACCAAGUGGAGUUCAGGACUGCGCUGUGCCUCAUUCAUUCCCCUCUGACCUAUGUGCACAGGAGGGGCAGCAGCCAUUGCUGCUAAAACAAAAGACAGAUGACAGGAAAACCUACUGCCCUUUGGCCGUUCCGAGCACAGGGGAAGUGUAAAAGUGCAGGGGGGGAAGGCAGGCCAGCUGCGCUAAUCCCUUUUUGUCCAGCAGUAAUUAAUAGUAUAAUCCACAUCUAAGAUGCAUUAAAGCGAAAACGCCGCAUUAUCAGAGCGCCCUGCACAUUGCCCCAAGGCAGAACCUCCCCUGCUGACCUGCACAGCCAGGUUACCUCGUCUCAGCCUCCACUUCUCAGGGGAGCUGACUCUGGACACCUCAUAAAAGGACCGAGCUAGCAGCCAGAAGCCUGCACUCAGCCCAACACUCCGAGUCUCUCUUUGGAAAGCACUCCCUUCCCAGGCAGCCCUGCCGGCACAUGGGCUCCACAUUCUGAAGAAGGAGUCAUUCAAAGCAAGUCCUGGGCUCUCUGGCUAACCUUGCAAGGUCACAAGUCCCCUGAUGGCGUUUUAAGAGGUAAGCUGGGGUGAUGCAAGAAGAACGACAAUGCCGUUCACCUCAGUUUGGUGGGAUGGUUCCUUAGGUGUUUCCUACAAAUCCUGGGGGCCCCAGGUAAGCCUCUAUCAAGGAGGAGAAGCCAGCUGCUGCUGUCCAGGCCCGAGGAGGAUACCCCUCCCACCACGACUGAAAUACUGUCUCUAGAGAGAGGCCAUCAGCUCAUCAGGCACAAAGCACAUUCAAGCUGCAGUCAAAUGCCACUGCCCCUUAAAACUCGAGGUGCCUGAAGAAGCAAACUGCUCAACCACACUCUGAAGCCACCACCGACUGAGAACGUGAUCUCAGUUCUCCCACCACCACCCAUCUCAUGGAACAAGUACAACCCACAACAGGCAGAGCGCCCUGAACUCCUGUUCAACCCCACGAUGCACUGGUAUUAGCACCUCAGCCCCAGGCACCCCUGCACCAGCCCAGCCCCCGAAGACGUCUGAGAGUGGCCGCGGGUUAUGGCAGCAACUGGCCUCCACCCUCUAAGUCCUCCUUGGUACUUGGUUGAGACCACUUUUUUCUUUUUCUUUUUUAAUUUAAUGUUUAUUUUUGGACCUGCACUCAUGGCAUAUGGACGUUCCCAGGCCAGGGAUCAAAUCCGAGCCACAGCUGCAACCUAGGUGACACUGGAUCCUUAACCCACUGCAUCACAGUGGGAAUUCCAAAACCACUUAUUUCUUAAUUUCGGCCACUGGAUAUAAAAAACAGUAAUGUGAUUGAAAUCGCUUUGACCUCAGGUUUUUGAGCACCUGGCAUGUGUGAUAUGAUCUCAUCCAAUUAUCUCUACUUGUUCAAAAAAAUUGCACCUUUUAAGAUCUUUACCUAGAACCUAACACAUUCCUCCAUAAUGAUAUUUAAUUACUUCAACCUGAUCCAGAAAGAGCAAUCCCACAUAGUUCAAACUAAGACCACCAGGGGCUGGCCAAGGAAUGAAGUGCCACUUGCACUAUCGCUUCGAGUAGAAAAUGCAUCUGUGGUGGUUCUAGAAACAUGCCCCCAUUCCACGAAAGUAUUUCCCUCUGAGGCUGCCAAAAAGCCACGGUCCAGUGACUGGGCAUACCACCCCACCUGGGCACACAGGAACCACUUCUGACAACGAACCACAGACCUGGCACUUGUGUAGGGGAGGCACCAGCCCCAGAGGCCGCCCAAGGAGCCCAGAGAGGCCUCCAUCCCUCCCAUCUCUGCUGCCUACCCUACCCUGCAACUGACCUCUCAGUGCGGCCAGGUCCCCUGAACCCCUGCUCUUAAUGGUACCGCGACAGGACUCCUCGAGAAUCCUUCAUAAACUCUCUCAAGCACUGCUCUUGGCGCCUCAUCACAAUACAAUCUAACAAAACAAUAUCACAGCAUUUGGGGAAGAGAGAAGCUACCAAAUUUCACCACAAAGCCUCCCUCCCCCUUGUUCCCCAGGAAACCUAGUUUGCCAGAAGAGGCAUCCUUUGCUCCCGUUUUCAUAAGGAUGCUUGGUUUACCUUUACAGUCUAAUCCCACCCAGGCCCAUGGGGGGCUUUCCUUCUCUGUACCAAUUCUCCCACAGGACCCCUGGGGUGGGCCAUCUAGGAGCCCCUCCAAGAUGUCCAUGUUCUCACACCUGGAACCUGUGACUGUACUACCCUGCAUGGCAAAGGUGACUUUUCAGACGGGAUCCGGAUUCUCCUGGAUGGCUCAGGGGGCCCUGAUGCAGCAACAGAGGUCCUUAUAACAAGGAUACAGGAGAAUUUAAAGAGUCAGAAGUAGACGUGAGGAAAGGGUCUCGAGCCAAGCACAGGGGCAGGCUCCAGAAUCUAGAAAAGGCAACGAAACAGAUGCUCUACUCAGGGCCUCCAGAGGGAACCAGCCUUGCCAAUACCUUGACCUUAGCCCAGCGAAACUGAUUUUGGCCUUCAAGACUCUAGAACAGUGAGAAGAUUGAUUUAUGUUAUUUUAAGCCACAAGGUUUGUGGUCAUUUCUAACAGCAUCUCUUCCGGAGAAAGGGGACUGUGAUGAUGAUAAACACACAGAACCAGAAAUACCCUUGAACUUCAGGCAUGAGUCGUCCUCAUUGGGAUCCACACAGCCUUUCUCUCUGGACUCUAGGAGCCCGCUGAAUCCUCUGCUCUCGCACACCAAAAUUGAGAACCCAAGACCCGUGAUGCCAUAAGCAAGGGUUAUGACUUGUGAGUACUGCUCAGUAGAGCAUCUUAGCACCUAGAUGGAAAAAACAACUCCCAUCCUAGCCUGCUGCCUUUGUGAUUCAUAAACCAGGGAAACGACAGAAAAACAGUAAAGAAUGUGUACAGCACUUUGAUUUUAUCCAACAGAAGAUACUGGGCAAAACAAAACACAAAACCUACAAGGAAGCGCCUCCAGAUCCACAAUUCCUUUUACCACACGGACAGGAGCUGGGCCAAGCCAACUUCGCUCCAUGGAUCCCACAGGUGGGCCAGCCUGCAGUCUCGCCUCGCUGCCGGGCAGCCAGCCUGAGCCCUGGAAAGCCAGAGCCUGUGCCCACGGGGCUCCUCAAGACAACGAGAGGAGGAAGGCUCUGGAAGGUGGUGGCAUCCUGCCCACCUCGGAGGUAGCCUGGGGCCUCUGGAUCACGCCAUCUCGCCAGCACCUGAGAGGUGUGGGCCAGGCAGCCAACCACAUCAGAAGCUGGCUGCCAGCCGGCCCCAGUUGCCCAACACCUCCGCAGGAGCCAGCUUUCCAGGAGUGGGUUUUACCCGCCACACAGGUACCAGCCGCUGCUGACCAAAGCGGGGCACGGCGCCUUGAAGAAUGUCCCACACGAUGGCCAGCCCGACGGGGGUCAAGGAGGCUGUCCGGCUACAGAGCAAUGCAAUGCACCUGCGCUCCACACUGGCCUCUGCAAAGCACGUUCUCUGCGCGGAUUACGCAAAGCAGGAUCCCACCAGGCUCUUCCUAGGACUCCAGCCGACCUCGGCUUUCCUCCAAGCCCAUGUCAGACCUCCCACCCCUCCCUACCUAUCCACCCCUUAAUCCUCCCAACCCUACAAGUCACUGGUUUACACGCUCCCAGUGUAGCCCGUUUCCGUUAUGUUUAACAAGUAACGUCGUGAAGGGCGUGUCAGGAUGUUCAGGGUCAGGGUACCUAGGCUUCCUCCGUGGGAGUUAAACCUGUGACUUCAGGGCACGUGUACAAGGUGGCACUUUAAGCCGGGUAAAGUAGUCAAAGGAAAAAAAAGAAAAGAAAGUUAACCAACCUUCCACAAAGGGCUCUCAUUCCGCCUCUGCUUAAUAAAGAUGCAACUCGGAAUAUUCCAAGUCCAAGAGAAGGUGGAUUUUGGCAAAAGCGGCAUCUAAUUUGCCCAAGAUUCAAAGUCUUUGAGCCACUUGACCAGUUUUCUCUCUGCCGACUACUUCUUCUGAUGUGCCCCCCCCCCAAAAUAAACCAGGCCCAGAAAUAGAAUCCCAUCUCCCUUGGCUCUUAUGACUAAUGUAUGGCCUUCUUUUAAAGCCCUCACACCACAGCUCUGACUCCAGUAAUUUCCUCUUCUUCUCUACGAACGUCCAUUUACAGCCUUUCUGUAACCUCUACGUGAACCAAGAAUGUUCUCUGUCCCUCCCACGGAUGUGGGAUCACGCCCUGGUGAGAGCGGGGUGGCGCUGGACGGAAUCUCUCACUGCAGUGUGAGCUCACUCGGGACCCUACCCAAGCCCAGCUCCCGGAGAAGGGGAGGAGGUCUUUUGCUUUAAGGAGCUUUUACAAAAGACAAAACAAUUCCAAGGGCUGGGUGGGCAACCAGUAAAACUCAAGACAUGGCUCGGGGGUUCCUU
rnacentral:lncRNA from 1 species